GGCUUUUCCUUUUCCUAUGCUUUUGCAUUGCAGUUUUACUUUUGUUUUGGUUUUCUUCUCAGAGAACACAGAGCACCAGUGAUCGAAUGACUGAAGCCACACGAAGUUUCACUUUGCCACUACCGUUGCUUUCGCCAUUGCCGCUGGUUGCUGUUGUCAAUCAGACCUUCGUCGUCUGACUUUGCAAUUGUGAUGUCAUGGAUUAUUCAAGAUUGGCUUCAGGCAUCUCCACAACCGCUUAAUGUUGAAGAAAAGUUGGAUGAUGUUGGAAAAAAUAGUGAGUGGUAGUAUUUUGCUUUCUUCAUUAUUUCAUGUUCAUGAUUUUAAUACAAUGAUUUUAUACGUGCCAUUGUAUCUUGAUUUAUUUUAAUUUUCUUGGUAUGGAGAAAUUAGCACUA